rnacentral:rRNA from 1 species
AGGGCGCACGGUGAAUGCCUGGGCACUAGAAGCCGAUGAAGGACGUGACGAACCACGAAAGGCUACGGAGAGCUGUAAGUAAGCUAAGACCCGUAGAUAUCCGAAUGGGGGAACCCGGUGCAGCGAUGCAUCAUUAAAUACUGUUAAGGUAUUUAAAGGAAGACGCAGUGAACUGAAACAUCUAAGUAGCUGCAGGAAGAGAAAGAAAAAUCGAUUUCCUAAGUAGCGGCGAGCGAAAGGGAAAGAGCCCAAACCAUUGAAUUUAUUCAGUGGGGUUGUAGGACUACGAUGUGAGACAGAGAGGUAUAGUUGAAGUCUUUGGGAAAAGACGCCAGAGAGGGUGAGAGCCCCGUAAGCGAAAUAGCUCGAAGCUCUAGUAGUAUCCUGAGUAGGCCGGGACACGAGGAAUCCCGGUUGAAGCAGCGAGGACCAUCUCGCAAGGCUAAAUACUAACUAGUGACCGAUAGUGAACCAGUACCGUGAGGGAAAGGUGAAAAGAACCCCGGAAGGGGAGUGAAAGAGAACCUGAAACCGUGUGCCUACAAGUAGUCAAAGCACAUUAAAGUGUAAUGGCGUGCCUUUUGUAGAAUGAACCGGCGAGUUACGUUAAGUAGCGAGGUUAAGACAGAAAAGUCGGAGCCGAAGCGAAAGCGAGUCUGAAUAGGGCGAGCAGUUACUUGACGUAGACCCGAAACCAAGUGACCUACCCAUGUCCAGGUUGAAGGCUAGGUAAAACUGGCUGGAGGACCGAACCCACGUAAGUUAAAAAUUGCGGGGAUGAGGUGUGGGUAGCGGUGAAAUUCCAAACGAACUUGGAGAUAGCUGGUUCUCUCCGAAAUAGCUUUAGGGCUAGCCUCGCGAGAGAGGAUAAUGGAGGUAGAGCACUGUUUGGACUAGGGGCCCGUCAGGGGUUACUGAAUCCAGAUAAACUCCGAAUUCCAUAUAUCUAUACGCGGGAGUCAGACUGCGAGUGAUAAGAUCCGUAGUCGAAAGGGAAACAGCCCAGAUCACCAGUUAAGGUCCCCAAAUCUAUGCUAAGUGGAAAAGGAUGUGGAGUUGCGUAGACAACUAGGACGUUGGCUUAGAAGCAGCCAUCAUUCAAAGAGUGCGUAAUAGCUCACUAGUCGAGUGGCGCUGCGCCGAAAAAUUACCGGGGCUAAGCAUAGUACCGAAACUGUGGAUGUGCGUAAGCACGUGGUAGGAGAGCGUUCUAAUUGCGGCGAAGCCUAAUCGAGAGGAUAGGUGGAGCGAUUAGAAGUGAGAAUGCCGGUAUGAGUAGCGAAAGAUAGGUGAGAAUCCUAUCCGCCGAAAGACUAAGGUUUCCUGGGGCAGGCUCGUCCGCCCAGGGUAAGUCGGGACCUAAGGUAAGGCCGAGAGGCGUAGCCGAUGGACAACAGGUUGAGAUUCCUGUACUAAUAUUAAUCGUUAAGAGCAAUGGAGGGACGCAGUAGGCUAAUGGCGCAUGUAACUGGAAUCAUGUGUAAGCGUCAAGGCUUGAAGUGAGUCAAAUGCUUGCUUCUAAAAGGCUGAGGCGUGAUGCGGAGCGAAAUAAAGUAGCGAAGGUCAUGAUGUCACACUGCCGAGAAAAGCUUCUAGCCAGAGAGAUAUUACCCGUACCGCAAACCGACACAGGUAGUCGAGGAGAGAAUCCUCAGGUGAGCGAGAGAACUCUCGUUAAGGAACUCGGCAAAAUGACCCCGUAACUUCGGGAGAAGGGGUGCUGAUCUCCGGAUCAGCCGCAGUGAAUAGGCCCAAACAACUGUUUAUCAAAAACACAGGUAUCUGCAAAAUCGUAAGAUGACGUAUAGGUGCUGACACCUGCCCGGUGCUGGAAGGUUAAGAGGAGAGCUUAGCGCAAGCGAAGGUUUGAAUUGAAGCCCCAGUAAACGGCGGCCGUAACUAUAACGGUCCUAAGGUAGCGAAAUUCCUUGUCGGGUAAGUUCCGACCUGCACGAAAGGUGUAAUGAUUUGGGCACUGUCUCAACGAGAGACUCGGUGAAAUUAUAAUACCCGUGAAGAUGCGGGUUACCCGCGACAGGACGGAAAGACCCCAUGGAGCUUUACUGUAGCUUGAUAUUGAGUAUCUGUUAAACAUGUACAGGAUAGGUAGGAGCCAGAGAAAGUAGGACGCUAGUCUUACUGGAGGCGCUGUUGGGAUACUACCCUUGUUUGAUGGAUGCUCUAACCUAGGCCGCUAAGCGUGGUCAGGGACAGUGUCAGGUGGGCAGUUUGACUGGGGCGGUCGCCUCCUAAAGUGUAACGGAGGCGCCCAAAGGUUCCCUCAGAAUGGUUGGAAAUCAUUCGCAGAGUGUAAAGGUAUAAGGGAGCUUGACUGCGAGACCUACAAGUCGAGCAGGGACGAAAGUCGGGCUUAGUGAUCUGGUGGUACCGUAUGGAAGGGCCAUCACUCAACGGAUAAAAGCUACCCUGGGGAUAACAGGCUUAUCUCCCCCAAGAGUUCACAUCGACGGGGAGGUUUGGCACCUCGAUGUCGGCUCGUCGCAUCCUGGGGCUGAAGUCGGUCCCAAGGGUUGGGCUGUUCGCCCAUUAAAGCGGCACGCGAGCUGGGUUCAGAACGUCGUGAGACAGUUCGGUCCCUAUCCGUCGUGGGCGUAGGAAAUUUGAGAGGAGCUGUCCUUAGUACGAGAGGACCGGGAUGGACAUACCGCUGGUGUACCAGUUGUUCUGCCAAGGGCAUCGCUGGGUAGCUAUGUAUGGACGGGAUAAGCGCUGAAAGCAUCUAAGUGCGAAGCCCCCCUCGAGAUGAGAUUUCCUUUGC